AUGGAGAGUUUUCAUGAUUACAAGAUGGUGAAUAACCGUUAUGUGGUUGAACAAGCUCAUGAGAUACAGUGCAUUGUGAAGGAACUUGAACUCCUUAAAUGUGUUCUACCCGACAAAUUCGUGGCUGGGUGCAUGAUUGCAAAGUUGCCUCCUUCAUGGAGGAAUUUCGCCACAACUCUAAGGCAUAAGAGACAGGAGAUAUCAGUUGAAAAUCUGAUUGCAUCUCUUGAUGUUGAAGAAAAAGCUCAGGCUAAAGAUACUACUGAAAAAGGAGGUGAGGUUCAGCCUACUGCUAACAUGGUGCAGAGGUACCCACAGAACAAGAACAAAGGGAAGAACAAACCUGUUUUCAACAAGCCUACCAAGACUACUACCUUCAAGAAGAAGAAGUUCAACAAGGCUGAGCUAGAGUGCUACGCCUCUGGGAAGCCCGUAUUUCAAUCAUCUUCGUGGUGGAUCGAUUCGGGUCGCAAGGGAUUCUUCCGUCCUAAUGGGGAAUGGGUCACAUGCUUCUGUUCGUGGCAUUGGCACGGUGGAUCUGAAGUUUACUUCGGGAAAGAUCGUGCAACUAAGGUACGUGCAGCAUGUCCCUACUAUGAACAAGAAUCUAGUUAG
rnacentral:rRNA from 1 species